AAACCAGCUAAUGAAUCUGUUUACCUGUGUGUGUUUCUGCAGAAAUUUUUAAAAAGCUGGCAACAGUAAAACCAUGUUAGGAACCUUAAGGACACUGAAGUUGUUAAAGUCCCUGAAAAUAAUCUAACUG
rnacentral:snoRNA from 1 species